rnacentral:lncRNA from 1 species
GGUCCCAGAGACCAGAAUUUAAAAAAAAUUCAGAUAAGCUCCAAAAAUUCCAGCAAAAAUAUAUAACAGUCCACAAUGAUAAAUCAACAAAAAUAACCAAUUUUCAUUCCCAAUAACUUCAAAUAAAAUUUCAUAAAUAAAUUUUGAAAAAUCAAUUUCAGAGAUAUUCAAAUUUACAAAAUUGUUGACCCGAAAAUCAAUGAAAAUUCUUGAUACAUAUAAAAUAAAAUUCCACACAUUAUGCAAGGUCUAGGAACUUAUUGUAUCAUUUUAUCAUCAUAUUUUGUUAAAGAAAAUGAAUAAAUAAUUCGCCGAAUUGUGAAAU